UAGGGAAUAUUGCACAAUGGAGGAAACUCUGAUGCAGCAACGCCGCGUGAGUGAAGAAGGCCCUUGGGUCGUAAAGCUCUUUAGCCUGGAAAGAAGUGCUUAUGAGUAAAUAAUUCAUAGGUGUGACGGUACCAGGAGAAUAAGGACCGGCUAAUUUCGUGCCAGCAGCCGCGGUAAUACGAAAGGUCCAAGCGUUACUCGGAAUUACUGGGCGUAAAGCGCGCGUAGGCGGCUUUGUAUGUCGAUUGUGAAAGCCCCGGGCUCAACCUGGGAACUGCAGUCGAAACUGCAAAGCUUGAUUGUUGGAGAGGUUGGGGGAAUACCUAGUGGAGAAGUGAAAUUCGUAGAGAUUAGGUGGAACACCAGAGGCGAAGGCGCUGACCUGGACGAAGAUUGACGCUGAGGUGCGGAAGCGCGGGGAGCAAACA
rnacentral:rRNA from 1 species